UAAGGGCAGGCAGCAUUUUAGAAGUGCUUUUACUAGAAGUGCAGACCCUUGUGUAUUUGUGCCCUUGUUUUCCUCUGCGUCAGUCGAAAAAAUUUUGAGAAGAGAUUAAAUGGAUCGUGAUUUCCAUACAUUUGAUUGUGUGAAGUCCUUUGGGUCCCCUCCAGGGAUAAAGAGGUGGAGUACACACAAAAUAAAAGUUCUGCUUAACAUCAGAAGAUGCUGUUCUCCUUUUUUACUGCUGGAAUUGUGUGUAUCAAGAAAGAGCAGUGGUGGUCAGCGGUGUUGCCAUGGCUUUCGCGCUCCCUUAGGCAGCAAGGAAUAAUCAUUUGCCUGCCCACAGCAACAUUUCCUCCACACUGGUUCAGCUGUACCUGAAAGAAAAUCGAUGUGAAGAGGAGCUGAAAGAGUCAGAACACUCAUCACCCUAAGCUGGUCUCAGGAGUUCACGGAUUUCCACACAAGGGUUCUCCCUGGGGAUGUUCUCCCAGGCCUGAAGCUGCUGCAUAUGUACUGCUCUGUAUUGAAACUCUUUAUCACUGUCAGCAUCCCCCUUUUUUUUUCAUACUUUUAAUUGUUUUCUGUGCAUCUGCCUGCCUUUCUGCAAGGGGUGGCAGAACUAUGCACACUGGUUUUAUGGUUUUACUGUUUCUCUGACUGCUGCAUGAAAGGCUGUUAAGGUGCCCUUGGAGAGGGCCUCUGCCUCUUGGUGCUCCCCUGAGAGCUGCAUUUAUCAGUACUAUGGGGAGAAAGGGAAAUUAUACUUUCCACAGGAGAGGUAUAAAACACCCAGAGAAUUCCCAUGAAAAAUUAAUUCCCUUUUAUUGGUACCAAAAUACAGUGUUUGAUGAAAAAUUCUACCGUUUUCAAGCAGUUCAUUUCUAAUAACUUGUUUCCAUUUUUUAUGAAAAGCAGAGCCCUUUGCGUAAGAAUCUAUUUUUUUUUCCAGAAUCUAGAGAAAAAUAAACAUUCUGUCAGAAACAGUGAUCAUACAAAAAAAUUUGAUCCAUUUCAAUGGCCACAGAUGUAUUAUAGCUCUGUACACAGAACUGUUCAAAUGUGGGCAAUUGCACACUCCCAACCUCUUUGACUUGUCUCAUAUUAUCUGUGCACUUCAUCUAUGAAAAGAAGAUUAAAAUACAUGAAAGUUCAAGAUCGGAUAUAACAUCAUUGCAACAAUUUGUCAGAGCAUUGACGACCUGGUGUUCCAAGGGGUGAUUUAAAGGGGCCCGUUGAACCUUGGCUCAUGAAUUUCUGAACAUGGUGAACAAACACAAAUAUGUGCUUAAAAUCCACAGCAUUUUAACAUUUACUUAAGAGGGUUCCAAGGACACCUGAGAGAAGUUUCCAGUUGUCAUGUUGAUUCAGCAGGCUUUGCUUAGCAAAUGUUUUAGGAAUUUGUAACUGAGCACAGCCUGCUUGUACAGCUCAA